rnacentral:rRNA from 1 species
AUUGAACGCUGGCGGCAUGCCUUACACAUGCAAGUCGAACGGCAGCACGGGAGCAAUCCUGGUGGCGAGUGGCGAACGGGUGAGUAAAGUAUCGGAACGUGCCCAGUCGUGGGGGAUAACGUAGCGAAAGUUACGCUAAUACCGCAUACGAUCUAUGGAUGAAAGCGGGGGAUCGCAAGACCUUGCGCGAUUGGAGCGGCCGAUAUCAGAUUAGGUAGUUGGCGGGGUAAAGGCUCACCAAGCCGACGAUCUGUAGCUGGUCUGAGAGGACGACCAGCCACACUGGGACUGAGACACGGCCCAGACUCCGACGGGAGGCAGCAGUGGGGAAUUUUGGACAAUGGGCGCAAGCCUGAUCCAGCCAUGCCGCGUGCAGGAUGAAGGCCUUCGGGUUGUAAACUGCUUUUGUACGGAACGAAAAGGUUUGGCCUAAUACGCUGAACUCAUGACGGUACCGUAAGAAUAAGCACCGGCUAACUACGUGCCAGCCGCCGCCGUAA